rnacentral:rRNA from 1 species
UACGUAGGGUCCGAGCGUUGUCCGGAAUUAUUGGGCGUAAAGGGCUCGUAGGCGGUUUGUCACGUCGGAAGUGAAAUCUUACAGCUUAACUGUGAACUUGCUUUCGAUACGGGCAGACUUGAGGCAUUCAGGGGAGAACGGAAUUCCUGGUGUAGCGGUGAAAUGCGUAGAUAUCGUAAGGAAGACCAGUGGCGAAGGCGGGUCUCUGGACAGUUCCUGACGCUGAGGCACGAAAGCCAGGGGAGCGAACGGG